GCUGGGUGUGGUGGCGAAUGCCUGUAAUCCCAGCUACUCAGGAGGCUGAGGUAGGAGAAUCACUUGAACCCAGGAGGUGGAGGUUGCAGUGAGCCGAGAGUGCAUCACUGCACUCCAGCCUGGGUGACAGAGUGAGACUCUGUCUCAA
ensembl:misc_RNA Metazoa_SRP Metazoan signal recognition particle RNA